rnacentral:lncRNA from 1 species
UACGUUUACUUUUUUUUUUUUUUUUUUUUAUUAAAUAAUUUAUAAUGUUAAAACAUUCGAAACGAUUCAUUGCAUUUUUAAUAUUUGUAACUAUAUUAAAAUGCACUAAACUAUUUGGAUUAAGUAAUAAAGAAAUAACAAACACUUAUAUAUGUGUGCAUUCGUACAUACACAUAUACAUACAAACCUAGACAAAACAAAGAAAAGUGUUUUUAUAUGUUGCUUAUUAUAUAAAAAAUUUAUAAAUUAAAAUUAUAAAAUGUAAAAUAAGCGUACGGAAUUUAUACCUUUUAUGUGUGUAUUUACAUGUUCGUAAUUAUUAUAAUAUGUCUAAAAAUGUGUAUUUUUUUUAUCACAUUUAUUUAUUUAUUUAUUCAUUUUUUUUUUUUUUUUUUUUUUUUUCUGUUUUAUAGCUAUCCAAUCAUCAAAUGAUAAAAACGCUUACAUGGGAGAGUUAACGAAUCCAAUAAAAAAUAAUGAAAACUUUAAAGAGAAUGUUAUAAAUUAUAUUGAAAAAAUUGUAAAAGAUUAUAGUGAUGAUAUAAGUAUUAUAAAAAGUGAUAUACAUAAUAUUUUUUUAGAUAUCGAAGGAGCAUUUGAAAAAUUAUCUGAUGAUGUUGCAAAAACUUUAUCAGAUUAUGGUUACUCCAUUGAGGUAGAACUAAACCGUAUAGAAGGUGUUGUCGAAUUGUUUGUUGAAAAAAACAAAAAUCGAAUUUAUACUUCUACAAAAUUAGAAGAAAACAAUGACAAAAAAGGAAUUAAAAAAGAAUGUGAUUUAGCUCUAAAUAAACUAAAAGAUGUAGUAGAAUAUAUACGUCUUAAUAAAUUUUAUACAUUUUUAAAAUAUGGAGAAGGUGAUGUAAAAAAAGAAGCUUUAGAAUAUGUAAAAAAUAAUGAUAAUAUAAAUAAAGAACUAAAAGAUGAGUUAUUAAAGUAUGAAAAAAAUGAAGGAGAAAAUAAAAAUGUAUCUAAAUUAAUUAAUCAUGUGACUCCUAUAUUUAAUAAGGUUAUUGAAAAAUUAGUGGAAUUAAGAAGCGAGCUAUCAAAAGAUUUAAAUAAAGUGCUUGAAUGAGUAUACAUUAACUAGUAUGAUGAUAUAUAUAUGUAUAUAUAUAUGAAGUGUUUAUAUAUAUAUUUUUUAAACAAAAAAAUUAGACGUUUUUUACAAUAUUAAGUAUUUUUAAUUAUGCACAUGAAUUAAUAAAAAUAUUUUAUAUAUUCUUUUUUUAUGUAUU